UACCCGCAGCACAAGUGGUGGUCAUUAUUAUUGGGCCUAAAGCGUCCGUAGCUUGCGUGUUAGAUGCCUGGGUAAAUCGAUGGGCUUAACCCAUCGAAUUCCGGGUAGACCGGCACGCUCGAGACCGGGAGAGGUGUAGGGUACUCGGGGGGUAGGGGUAAAAUCCUGUAAUCCUCCGGGGACGACCAGUGGCGAAGGCGCUACACUAGAACGGCUCUGACAGUGAGGGACGAAGGCCUGGGGCGCAAACCGG
rnacentral:rRNA from 1 species